GACGAACGCUGGCGGCGUGCUUAACACAUGCCAGUCGAACGGAAAGGCCCUGCUUUUGUGGGGUGCUCGAGUGGCGAACGGGUGAGUAACACGUGAGUAACCUGCCCUUGUCUUUGGGAUAACUUCAGGAAACUGGGGCUAAUACCGGAUAGGAGCUCCUGCUGCAUGUUGGGGGUUGGAAAGUUUCGGCGGUUGGGGAUGGUCUCGCGGCUUAUCCGCUUGUUGGUGGGGUAGUGGCUUACCCAGGCUUUGACGGGUAGGCGGCCUGAGAGGGUGACCGGCCACAUUGGGACUGAGAUACGGCCCAGACUCCUACGGGAGGCAGCAGUGGGGAAUAUUGCACAAUGGGCGGAAGCCUGAUGCAGCAACGCCGCGUGCGGGAUGACGGCCUUCGGGUUGUAAACCGCUUUCGCCUGUGACGAAGCGUGAGUGACGGUAAUGGGUAAAGAAGCACCGGCUAACUACGUG
rnacentral:rRNA from 1 species